GCGUACGAUGGGCAGAGAGUGCCACAACGAUGGCGCCGAUCUCGUGCUGCCUGUUUUGCCUAACAACACAGCAAGAACAAUUAGAAAAGGGUUCAGGAAAAAUAUAGGGAGAAGAAUACGAAGACCCAAGACUCUAAAUUGGUGAUUUUGCCGGGGAAGUGCGAAAACUGUCCGGAUCUUCUGAGGAGAAACGCGGGGUAGACCGAUAAUCGGCGGCAAGAUGGACGAGCGUCUGCAGAUGGAACGCGUCAGAGAGCUCGACAUGGAGCAGCUGGAGGUGGAAGAGGUGGACGACGAUGGCCGCCAUUCUUCUUCCUCCGAAGAAUCGAGCGGGUGCCAUGACGACGGUGGGACGGGUUCAUUUGGUCGACUCACAUUUGACACUGGCUUGGCUUCAAUGCAUGCCUACCUCGGUGAGGUUGAUGACACUCAUCAUAGGAUGCCAUUCCUGGAUGGGGGUACCAUCAUCGAUUUGCCAAUGUUCUACCUUGAAGGCAUCGUUCUUUUUCCAGAAGCAACGAUCCCUUUUAGAGUCAUUCAACCUAGGUUUGUGGCGGCUGUAGAGAGAGCAAUGGGACAGGUCGAUGCUCCUUGUUUAAUUGGUGUGGUUCGCGUGCAUAGGUCACAUGCUAAUGGGCUUCGCUUUGCAUCAGUGGGUACUACAGCAGAGAUUAAACAAUAUCGUCGAUUAGAAGAUGGUUCCCUGAACAUCGUUGCUCGUGGCCAACAAAGAUUUCAUGUGCUAAAAAGUUGGAUCGAUGUUGAAGGAGCACCUUGUGCACAGGUUGAAGUUGUUAAUGAAGAAACACCAUUGAGAACUCCAAAAGAUGCAUUUGGACAGUUGGCCUCCAUCAUUAAUUUUCAAAGUGGCAGUGUCUCACAUGUAGAUAACAUGAACACUUCUCAUAGAAGUGAGGAAAGCGACUGUGAUAGUGCUCAAAGUUUUCACAUUGUUCACUCAGUAAAAAAGGAGAAUGUGCUGCAGUACUGCAGUGAGUCUGAUAGAAUGGAUGAAUCAACCAGUGGAAGUGAUGAUGAAUAUGAUCAUGCAUUGUUCAAUAAGUUGGGAAUUUCUCAUUUGGCUGUUUCAAGAAGACCAUCCAUGCAUCCUUCUAGGCAAAGUGCAAAUGACAAUGGUAGCAUUGAGCAAUGCACUGGUACAGAUAGAGGAGCAAUAAAAGGGGAAAAAUCUGCAGAUGCAGGACAGGAGACUGCUAAACAAGCCUGGGCAGCAGAUGAAUCUAAGUGGUUGUGUAGAGCUCAGAAAUCCUUCUGGCCGCAUUGGGUGUACAAAAUGUAUGAUGUGGAUAUUCUUGCUCGAAGGGCUGCGGACAUGUGGAGGCAAAUAAUUGGAUAUCCUAACAUUGAAGGCCUGAUAAGAAAACCCAAUUUCUUAUCAUUCUUUAUUGCAAGUAAAAUUCCGGUAUCAGAUUCAACAAAGCAAGAGUUGCUUGAGAUAGAUGGCAUUGCCUACCGACUACGAAGAGAAAUACAGCUUCUGGAGCAGUUUGAUCGUGUUCGUUGUAAACAUUGUCUGACUGUGAUUGCAAGGCGUAGUGAAAUGAUUGUGAUGUCCAGAGAUGGACCUUCAAAUGCAUUUGUGAACCCACACGGCUAUGUGCAUGAAAUCAUGACCCUGAAAAAUACAAAGGGGUUAGUUCGUCUUGGACGUCCUGUUACCGAGCACAGCUGGUUUCCGGGGUAUGCUUGGACAAUUGUGAACUGUGCUACUUGUGAGUCUAACAUGGGUUGGCUGUUCACUGCAACAAACAAGAGGUUGCAGCCAAGGUCAUUUUGGGGCAUCAGGAGUUCACAACUUGCAGAUAACGUGCAAUAAGAAGCCUCUUAGAAUAGUAAAAGAUAUAGGGUAACCGCUCUGAUGAUGGGUGGUUCAAGUCUGCUCUGCAUGUUUAUCUACACGUGCAUUCAGCAUCAAAGUGAGAGUUGUGCAGAACGCAACAUACCCUCUUUGCACACACAGAGGGAGAGAGAUCCUUAUAAAUGUUGUAAAGGACACCUGUAAGCAUGUGGUUGGGUACUAGCAAAAGGGUGUGACAGAAGCUACGGACGGUAGCAAGGUCCUUCAUGGCGGUGGUCUGAGCAAACUAUGUUCUUCAGGCUGGAAUCUAUUCCUAUCAUCGGUUACAUCACGUAUAUUGUACAGUGUGGUGAAGUCAGAAUAAGCGCCCUUGGGGCAUGGAACCUGCACACAGGAACCCUGACAUUGCUUUAGACAAUUAAAUGAAGCUGGGUGUACUGCAUGCAGUUGCCAAACGGACUUGAGACUUGGGAGGAGGCAUUUUUUUCUCAACAGUUCAUGGAACUCCGAGCAUUGGUUUCCUGACCCUAACUUGGAAGUCUGAGGUCUAAUCCCAGAGCUGGAGAUCUUGUUGUCUCGUUCAAAACAAUUGCUGAUUUUGGGCGAGAAGUUGAAAGCUGUAGGUGAUACCGAGAAGCAAGCCAAGGUGCACAGCUCGUCCGAACUUGUCAUAUGAUAGUGUUCUCAAAUCGCUAAAGGUUAUUGGCUCAGUAAACCUAGUUUGAACUGUUCACAGCUGGCACCUUAUCUUCACUAUGCCAGUUUAAGUUUAUAAUUUAUCCGUCACUAGACAGCUUCUCGACAAGAAAAUGUUUCAAGUGAUAGACCAAGUCUAUUUCCUGGUACUGCUGUCUCUUCACGGCUGUCAUUACUAGUCACACCUUCCAGGCUUAGGACAGCUUCUCUGCUCUUGACUGAAAUGGUUCAAGAACAGAUUUUUCAGACUUUUUCUUUCUUCUUGUGCUAACUGACUGAGCUCUCCCUACGUCCUUGCUAACCGAUACCUGGAUACGUUAAAACGUGUUGUACCAUGCAAAUGCUGUGAAAAAAUG